AACGAACGCUGGCGGCAGGCUUAACACAUGCAAGUCGAACGCGCCCUUCGGGGCGAGUGGCAGACGGGUGAGUAACGCGUGGGAACCCACCUUUUGGUACGGAAUAACUCAGGGAAACUUGAGCUAAUACCGUAUAAGCCCUGACUUUUAAUCGGGUCUGGGGAAAGAUUCAUCGCCAAAGGAUGGGCCCGCGUCGGAUUAGCUAGUUGGUGGGGUAAUGGCCUACCAAGGCGACGAUCCGUAGCUGGUCUGAGAGGAUGAUCAGCCACACUGGGACUGAGACACGGCCCAGACUCCUACGGGAGGCAGCAGUGGGGAAUAUUGGACAAUGGGGGCAACCCUGAUCCAGCCAUGCCGCGUGAGUGAUGAAGGCCUUAGGGUUGUAAAGCUCUUUCGCCGGUGAAGAUAAUGACGGUAACCGGAGAAGAAGCCCCGGCUAACUUCGUGCCAGCCGCCGCUGUAA
rnacentral:rRNA from 1 species